GACAGAGGGUGCAAACGUUGUUCGGAUUUACUGGGCGUAAAGCGUGUGUAGGCGGCUUGGCAAGUUGGAUGUGAAAGCCCACGGCUCAACCGUGGAAGCGCACCCAAAACUGCUUCGCUCGAGUCUCGGAGAGGAAGGUGGAAUGCUUGGUGUAGAGGUGAAAUUCGUAGAUAUCAAGCAGAACACCUGCGGCGAAGGCGGCUCACUGGCCCGGUACUGACGCUGAGGUGCGAAAGCGUGGGGAGCAAACAGGG
rnacentral:rRNA from 1 species